GUGAUAUUGGAAUUUGUGAAAACGUACAUCGAUCUCAUACACAACCAGUGAGGUAGCUACCGUCUUCGUGGUUGGAAACGGGCACAACCCGUAUACCUUCAGAAACAAGGUAAUUUUCAACCUUGAUCUUGCUUUAUUCAAGAGAAACUAUUAAAAAAAAACAAGUAUGCUAUUGUUUUAAGGUUGUAAACGUCUACGCUUGAUCUAAAUCUCAAAUUGGUGGCACAGGAGGAGACCGCGGUGCAGGUUAACGUUAGGGAGCUAGUUGGCACACAAUCAGUUUUACAUGAGUCAACAUUUAAUAGCCAUGUGAGUUUCGAUUUAAAUUGUGAUCCAAACAUUUGCAUAGUUAGAAGCUAGUUAUUUCGGAUUUUUUAAAAUUUUUUAAUCACACCCAUUUGUUAGCUAGCUAUGCUAUCUGCCUGGGUUGUUUUGCUUGCUAGUUAGCUAAUGUUAGCUAACUAACUCACGAAGUUGUUCGGCGCGCAGUUUCAGACUUUCAAAAAUAUGCGCAUGCUGACAAUUUAGCACACUAGCAAUAUAACUGUGCAUACAUUUAAGUAGAUAUUGGUCCUGGGCACGGUGUUUCCCAUAACCAUCGUUAUUAACGUUGCACUUAAACGCUCGGAAUAGAACAGCUGUCAUUAUUUUUUUUGCCUUCCUGCGCCACUUUAUGUACAGAUCUCCGCUAAACAGCCCAAUAUUGGAUUAAAGGAGCAGGGCCGGUUCCAGGGAUAAACUGUCGCUUAAAGGCGUCCUCAUGCUUCCCAGUCAGAACAGUCGGGUUUAACGGCGGUUGGCAUCCAAUGUUAAUGGUGCAUUACCGCCACCAGCUGGAAAGGGUAUUGAAUAAACAACUAAAAAAACAUUGCGGGAAAGGGGGACGACAUCAUACAAAAACCCAUCCCACGUAUUCAAUCACAGUCCACUCCAAAAUACAUCCCUAUGGCAGUACAUUCACCAACAGGAUCUUUUGCACAGCCUCAGCUGUGAAAUCAUGGAGACCCCAAAAACCUCAAGCAGCAUUCAAUAAUUCCAAUUUUCUUAUUCUCCACUUGUGCUGUACAGUUUAUGACCAUUGCGAUAAAUAAUAAACUCCACAUUUUUCCAUGUAGUAUUUCACUAUCCCUCCAUUGAUGAGAACCCUUCAUUGGUCGUGGUGGCUCUACUAUCAUUGUUUCUUCCCCGUCACUUGUUGCUUCCAAUCUUUUCACUGCCUCCAGAUAAGAAACUCGCUGGACACUCCUUACCCUUGCCACCUCGUUCUCCUUCACCCUAACAGGGCACUCCAGGAAUUCAGGUGCAUGUUCACCUUCACAGUUGCAGCGUUUCACUUCAUCUGGCAUACAGUACUCUUCCCUUCUGCACACACUCGACACAUGACCAAAUCUUCCACAAUUAUGUUGCUGAAGGUGCUUGUGCACAAAAGCUCUUGCAGGGUAUCUCAUGAAUCCUAACAUAUGAGAAGGGAGAGACUCUUCAUCAAAGAACAUUAGCAUGGAAGAGGUUAAUGUAUUUUCUCCAUCCACCAUACAGGUCAGUUGACGUGCACCAACCACUCAAUCAAUGUCUUUAGUAAUAUCCUCUGCCUUGUUUUCUUGUGCCACCCCAAAUAGCCCCCUUGAUAGGCGCCCAGCUACGAAAAAGCUAUGAAAAAUCCAUACAGGAAGCAUUCCACGCCGAUAUCUUUGAGUCUUAACACUUCUGCUCUGCGGACACACAUCAAAAAUAAGACGACCACUUGUGACUCUCACCGACUACACUUCAACACAUUCCAGAUUUCCCAAGUAGCAUUGAUCCAAAACCACUACUCAAACUAAAAACUAGCCUGAUGGUUUCCAAUUUUGCUUCUCGUGUUCAUUUUUGUUCUCAAUUCUUUUUCACUUUUGGUACUAUUAGCUUCACCCGACACACUAGCCGUUUCAAACAAAAUCAGUUUGUCUUCUCCACGAUCAACGUCUACCAGCCAAAACAGUUCGGAGGAGUUUGUUCAUAUAUUGUGGCAUUGUUUUGGACUUCAGUAAGGGAUUUUGCACUGUUUGGGCACUUUUCUUGGGGUAAGCUGAAGUCUACACCCCUUCAUCAGUGAUUGGUCAACAGUAGGGAUUCUUAAAAAGUCAGUCAUUCAAUGAGAGUUGACUCAUGACUUUUUUGAGAUACUACAUCUUAGAUGUCAAAUUGCAUGACAGAUCCUCUGCAAAAACUCAUGUCAUUAAUUUUGAAGUUAACUUAGAUUAAUUGUGACUUGAGUUAGUGUAUACUGGCUACAGGAUCUCAAUUAAUAAACUGUACUAUUGCUGCUUUUUCCCCUUGUUUUUCAAGCGAAGGUCUUAUGGGAGUAUGCGAGCACACUCGUUCAGUUCGGCUGAAACAUGCUGACGCCUCAAUCUCCACACAAUACCCCAUAAUGACAAAGCAAAACAGGUUAUUUUAUAUGUGCAAAUUUCUUAACUUCAUACGGCUCAUUGGGACGCUAGCGUCUCACCUCGACAACAUCCUGUGAAAUUGCAGAGCGUGAAAUUCAAAUGACAGAAAUCGUAAUAUUAAACAUUCAUAAAAAUACAAGUGUCAUACAUCAUUUAAAAGCUUAACAUCUUGUUAAUCCAGCCGCGUUGUCAGAUUUCAAAAAGGCUUUACAGCGAAAGCACACCAUGCGAUUAUCUGAGGACAGCGCCCCGCACAGAAGCAUUACAUACAUUUUCCAACCAAGCAGGGGCGCCACAAGUCAGAAAUAGCGAUAAAAUAAAUCACUUACCUUUGAAGAUCUUCAUCUGGUUGCAAUCACAAGGGUCCCAGCUACAUAACAAAUGGUCCUUUUGUUCGAUAAAGUCCUAGUUUAUAUCCCCAAAAGGUCUGUUUCAUUGGCGCGCUAGACUCAGUAAUCCACCGGUUUCCCUCAUUCAAAAUGCAAACAAAUGAAUCCCGUAAGUUACCAAUAAACUUCUUCCAAACAUAUCAAACAACAUUCCUAAUCAAUCCUCAGGUAUCCUAAUAUGUAAAUAAGCGAUAAAAUUUAAGACAAAUAACGAAGUAUUCGCACUCACCGGAAUGCGCCACAAACACUACAGCCAAAAUGGGAGCCACUUACUAAAACUACAAAUUCUAGCAAAUUUUUCAAAAAACAUGCGUGAAACUCUUUCUAAAGACUUGACAUCUAGUGGAAGCCCAAGGAACUGCAAUCUGGGAGGUCUUCCUUUUUAUAUUCCCAUUGACAGCCAUAGUAAUCAAGGGUGAGCUGAAUUUUUUUUUUUUUUUUCUGGAUGGAUUGUCCUCGGGGUUUUGCCUGCCAUAUCAGUUCUGUUAUACUCAGACAUUAUUUGAACAGUUUGAAACUUUUAGUGUUUUCUAUGCAAUACUACCAAUUAUAUGCAUAUCCUAGCUUCUGGGCCUGAGUAACAGGCAGUUUACUUUGGGCACCUCAUUCAUCCAAACUUCCGAAUACUGCCCCCAAGCCUGAAGAAGUUAAAUAAAACAACUUUUACAUAAGUAUUCAGACCCUUUACUCAGCACUUUGAAGCACCUUUGGCAGCAAUUACAGCCUUGAGCCUUCUUGGGUAUGUAUUUGAGUUUCUCCCAUUCUUCUCUGCAGAGCCUCUCAAGCUCUGUCAGGUUGGAUGGGGAAUGUCGCUGCAUAGCUAUUUUCAGGUCUCUCCAGAGAUGUUCAAGUCUGGGCUCUGGCUAGGCCACUCGAGGAUAUUCAGAUACUUGUCCCGAAGCCAAGACAAUGCAGGAGUAGCUAUGUGCUUAGGGUCAUUGUCCUAUUGGAAGGUGAACCUUUGCUACAGUCUGAGGUCCUGAGCGCUCUGGAGCAGGUUUUCAUCAAGGAUCUCUCUACUUUGCUCCGUUCAUCUUUUACCUGAUCCUGACUAGUCGCCCAGUCCCUGCCACUGAAAAACAUUCCCACAGCAUGAUGCUGUCACGAAAGCUUCAACGUAGGGAUGGUGCCAGGUUUCCUCCAGAUGUGACGGUUGGCAUUCAGGCCAAAUAAUUCAAUCUUGGUUUCAUCAGACCAGAGAACCUUAUUCUUCAUGGUCUGAGAGUCCUUUAGGUGCCUUUUGGCACGCUCCAAGCGGGCUGUCAUGUGCAUUUCACUGAGGAGUGGCUUCCGUCUGGCCACUCUACCAUAAAGGCCUGAUUGGUGGGGUGCUGCAGAUGUUGUCCUGGAAGGUUCUAUCUCCACAGAGGAACUCUGGAGCUCUCAGUGACCAGCGGGUUCUUGGGCCUUGGUCAGGUAGGUGACCUUCCCCGACUGAUCAGUUUGGCCGGGCGGCCAGCUCAAGGAAGAGUCUUGGCGGUUCUAAAUUUCUUCCAUUUAAGAAAGGAGGCCACUGUUUUCUUGAACUUUGGUACCCUUCCCCAGAUCUGUGCCUCGGCACAAUCCUGUCUCGGAGCUCUACGGACAAUUCCUUCGACCUCAUGGCUUGGUUUUUGCUCUGAUGUGCACUGUCAACUGUGGGACCUUGUAUAGAUGUGUGUGUGCCUUUUGCAAAUCAUGCCCAAUCAACUUUACCACAGGUGCCUCAAGUUGUAGAAAAGUCAAGGAUGAUCAAUGGAAACAGGAUGCACCUGAGCUCAAUUGAGUGUCAUAGCAAAGGGUGUAAAUACUUAAGGUAUUUCCGUUUUUAUUUUUCUAAAUUAGCAAACAUUCCUAAAACUUUUUUUGCUGUGCCAUUAUGGGUAUUGUGUAGAUGAAACUCUGUGGAUUCAACAUGGCGAAUGACAACUUCGAGCAUCGAUUUGACUGAGGAAGGUACUUCUGUACCUCCCCAUUACGAUUCUAGCCAUGCAUUAUAUAAAUGCCAAUUCAUGGAGGGAGAUUGCAGAGACGCUUGGGUCCGACCCAACCACUAGUCUGAAAAAGUGGGGUAGGAUUCGUGACGACAAGUUCGUCAAGACAAAGAAAAGAAAGGGCCACAGUGGAGAUUCCGGAGGAAAGGCUUCUCCAGAAAUGUUGCUGCUGGCUUGUUUGGCAUGUGGAGCAUGGGAAGACUGAAAGCAACAUGCCGUCUUCACCAAAGAAUGAGGCUCAAACAUCAGUGAAUGGAGACAGCACCUGGUUUUGUUCUCUGCGCCCAAGCACUACCUCAGUACUGGGGACAGACUGGUCAUCGGCCCCUGCACUAAGCUGCAGUGCAGAAUUAGAAACCAUCUCCAUGCAGGACCUGGCAAGCUCUAUCCUGGGCUCACCUCCAAUACCUGCUCCACUGGCUUGCUCUUCACCGACGCCACAGAGCAGUAGCAGGGGUGAGAAGGGAGAAAAGAGCUGCAGACUAAGCCCUUGACACUUAUGAGACCAGCCACCUGGACAGCUGAUGGAACAGGAGUAUUUCCGUCUGUAAUAAAUCCCUUUUUGAGGGGAAAAACUCAUUCUCAUUGGCUGGGCCUGGCUCCCAAGUGGGUGGGCCUAUGCCCACCCAUGGCAACACCCCUGCCCAGACAUGUUAAAUCUAUAGAUUAAGGCCUAAGGAGUUUUUUAAUUGACAGAUUUUUGUAUGAACAGUAAACCCAGUAAAAUUGUUAAUUGUUGCGUUAAUUUUUGUUCAGUAUAGAAAGAAAAUACACAUUUCCAGGAACCAUAAACUAAGUUAAAUGGAUUCCAACAUUCUAUAAUCAACAUAGCUGGAUAAGGGCGCAUGAGGUUCUCAUGUAGGGGGAAAGCUGCGUCCCCCAGGAAAACAAGGACUUGGCGUUGUGGUACCUGACAAGACAGCUGGUGGUAAAUUGAGGGUCUUCUGUGGCAGUUUGGACCCAAAAGAACUCUUGAAACACUCCACCAUAGCUCUCUAGGCCGUAUGCCCCUACAUCCACCAUUGUGAACCUGUAGCAGGCAUCUUCUGUCUCCGUAUCUUGCCUAUUCAUAUGUUGCUAGGUACAUAAAUCUAGUAGAUCCCGGACAAGUCACACAACUUCCAUUUUGUCACCAGUCAAGCGUCUGUGUACAUUUUUUUUAUUCUCCCGCAAGUCUUUCUUGUUUGUCCAUAGAUGGCUAUUACCAGCUCUUCGCCCUCUACUGUCCUGGAGUAAUAUUGACAAUUGUUUUUGUUUUUCAAGCAAAUGUCUUUUUAGGUAGCAUGCGAGUGCACUCGUUCAGUUUGCCUAGCCGCCAGUCGAACUGAAGCAUGCUAACGCAUUUAGGGCCCCCGGCCGCUAUGAGAUCCUGCUAGGAACUCUGUCUGGGUCUCAACAUUUGGUUGUGCAUCACCAGUUUCAUGUCAGUCACUGACAGUCACUCAAUUAUCCAUGUCAGCUAACAAUUUUUGGAUUGGCAGUUAGUCAAUCCAGCUAUCUAAAGUUGUAGUAAUCAUGGCCAAAUACCGACCGGGCACAUGCCCAGGGGUCCGGACCUCCAGGCCCCCCCCCCCCAUCUUGAUGUUAGUCAUUCUCACUAUCAUAUUAUUAUGUCAUGGCAAAAUGUAUAACAUUUCAGGAAAUUAGCUUUAAUACUGCACAAAAAUAAACUCAAACAAAUGUUUUGACACGGUGGUGGGGCCCCCCCAACCAAAUCUUUCUUAGGGCCAGCGAUAGGCUAGAGCCGGCUCUGUAAAGGAGCCUAAUGUUACCUUAGUCCAAGGGCCUUACAUGUUCUGUUUUAAAGGAUGGCUCUGGAAGCCACAAACCCCAAAUACUCCAUCUAAACGUGAAUCUAUUCACAAUUGUGAUACGGUUCUAGAAACAUAAUUACCUCUACUUUCAUAUCACAUAAGUAAUUUCACAAUUCAAAAUACAAACUUACGGUACACUGUUUUAACUGUUGCAGCCGACACUUUUUCAGUGACAUGUUUUGUGGCGUCUGUAUCGUUUAUACACAGGUGUUUGGAGAUGCAGAUAGCUAAUUAGCACAGGUAGUCUACUCAGUCUUCCGUCUGUUUUCCGUAAACAAGCGCUGUAACAUGGAAAUAUAGCUGUGUGGGAACCCUAAUCCUAUAAAGGUGUGUAUCAAUUUAACCAUUUUGUUUUUAUAAAAUUAUUUCUCACUGAUAUGAAAUAAGGUCCGUACGCUUCCAAAACCGUACCACAAGCGAUACGUGUUAAUGUUUGACCGAUCAUCGCGGGUCUUAACAAAACAGCCCCAUACAGAAAACACAUUUUGUCCUAUGACUCGUGUGUAACGUAGUGGAACUGACAGUCAUGAUCAAGGCUACGCUGAACAUAUAAUUACAUGGUUUAUUUUGUAUCUCUGACAGCGUUAACUUAAAAACAAAGUUGACUACAAACAAAGUUGCCAAUGUCUUUGCAAUUGAUACAAACAAGCGGCGUAUAAAAAGAUGUGCCGAUUGGGUAAGCAUUAAAAUAAGCCGCUUCAAUAUUUACAACCGUAGGUGGUAGAUAACCCUCUAGGAGCUGAUCCGUCGUCAAUGAAAUAAUGUUAAGGUAAGAUUUGAAUGGAGAAGGUUGAUCCAAGAGCAGCACUCCCUUUCUUUCGAUCCUAUCAUUAUCGACACAUGCUCCAACAAAACACUUAGAGCUCGUUCUCUCUGGGUGGUGUUAUGGGUAACAUGGAAAGAUUUUGGUUUCAGUUUUAUUAGUUGAUAAUGUCACUUUGGGGUCAUAGGGCACUCCAGUCCCAAAUACUGUAUGUUCUAAACAAAUUGUGACACUACUGUGAAUCAUGGAUACAGCUACACCAAAUAUGAUUAGGUUUCCUGUUUUAUGGUUACACCAUAUUGGUGUUGAUAAAUUGUGUGCCUCUGCUUCAACGUCUUCAAAUGAAAAAGGUGAAAUAAUAACCAAACAUUUUAGUAAAUUGCUUCAUUUUCUAUUCAGUGUCCUGUGUGAAGGUACUUAAGGUGUUCACUGACAGAAAGCAGCCAUGUCGUCAACAUCCCAGAAACACAAAGAGUUUGUGGCAGAACCCAUGGGGGAGAAGCCAGUCAAUGCACUUGCUGGCAUUGGAGAGGUGCUUGGCAAGAGACUGGAGGAGAAGGGCUUCGACAAGGUGAUGCAGAGUUUACUUAACUUUGUUGGAACUUUCAUAAUGGAACUUUUGUUUUGUGAAUUUCUACAUUUUAGGCAUGUCAUAGUAAGUACAGCAAAGUCAAGAAGACAAUGCAGUUGUGCAACUUUUACCAAGUGUUUAGGUUAGUGUAUUGUCAUUCAUGUUCUCUUACACUUUUCCUACUCCAUUCUCAUUUGCAUACAUCUACAGGCCUAUGUGGUCCUGGGUCAGUUCCUGGUGCUGAAGAAGGAUGAGGAGCUAUUCCGGGACUGGCUGAAAGACUCAUGCGGGGCCAAUGUCAAACAGCAGGGUGAUUGCUAUGGCUGUCUGCGUGAAUGGUGUGAUUCUUUCCUGUAGAGAAGGUUUUGUUUUUUCCCGUUUUAUAUAACGUUAUCCCAAACAUCUAUUUACUUGUGGUCUCACAUUAAAUUUCACCUCAUAUGGGAACACUGCACAUGAGGCAGUUAAGCAAAGUCAUACAUUGUAACACCUGGUUAUUUUAUACUAGAGUCACAAUUCAGAGACCUAUGGAUGCUUAAAAAUUAGUAAGACGUACCUUGCUGCAGUCAUCCAUGGGGUUGUUUCACCCAACUGUGUAGAUCCGUAAUCCUGACCUUUCCUAUGAUUUAAUAUCUUUGGCCGUACAGAAGCCUUGGAUGAGUUAAUUUGUUUUCCUGCACUUUAUAUUUCAAUUUUGUUCUGUCAAAUAACCACUUUUUAUAAUUACUAUCCCUUCAUAAAGUUAUAACUAAUGCUUGUACUUAUCUCCAACUUUCUGACAGUUUGCCCCUGCAUUUAUUUAAAUGAACUUGUCGCUAAAUUAAUUAGUAGCAUUUUAAACCAUUUGACACCACAUGGCUUUUAUAUCUAUAAGAUGUUGCACUGUUAAUUUUACAUCUGAGUUUACAGGAAGCAGUUUUAAGAUUUACAUUUGUAAUUGCUCCAUGUUAUCUUAUGUGUUUGUUUUAAGAGAUGUUGAAGGAAUGCCUUAACGUUGUAAUGCAAAAGCAACAUUUAUCUGCAAUGUACCUUGAGUUGUGGAGCAGUGCAUGCGGAUUAAGAAGCUAGCUACUACAAAUCACCUCAUUUUCAAUCUUCACACAAAUGAAAGCCUGACGUAAAACCACAGUAAGUAGCACUGUUUCAGGAAUUAAUUUAUGAGCAUACUUGUGUUGCUCUCUGUUUAAUCGUUGAAGGAUGGUUUUACUGAAACACUGGUUCAUGUUUUUGCAUAUUGACUGUGAAAGCAUGUUUUUAUAUUUUUCUUUUGAAAGAAACAACUGCAAGAUCUGGACAAUUCUGACUUUGUUUUGUUUUUUGAAAAAAAUAAUAAUAAUAAAUUACAUGCAAAAAUAUUUUGGUGACAGGAGUAUUUAAUUUUGUCUUUGAUUCCCAAGUCCCCUUUUAUUCAAAGCUCUUAAUUUGCUUUGGUAAGAAAUAUUGACAGUAAAGGUUUAAGGAACACUGAUCUAAAAAUAGUAAUAACAUUUCUGAACUUGAUCAGAUAAGCAACCAAAAAAACUGGUCUCAAAGAAAACCAUACAAAUCGCUGUUAUGUAUUUAUUAAAUGUACUGCUUAUUUUUGUUAAUGUCAUAUAGCCUUAGACAUCCACUUGACAAAUUAAACCACUUAUUUAUCAAAACAACAUUGAUCAUUGUUAUUGGAAACCCGUCAUUAUAGACCGCUGAUCUUGUUAAGGCGGCUGACCACCUCUUGUACAUACAGCGCCAGUGGAAUUAUUUGGGUUAGUGUGUAUUGACUUGUCCUCUUACUGUCCUACUGGUCCACAGUGGCGCCUACACCUCACGCACAUUUCUGCAACAGCUUAAAGUGACAUACAGGACUUUCAACACAUCACACACAAUUAUUAUUUUUUUAACAAACUCAGAUUAGGCAAUGACUAGUGUGUAUUAAAAGUUCCAAAUAAUUACAAUUCAUGUGUAGUUGUCACCCCUCCAUCUAUUUGAAAAAUGAGAUAGGACUAUGAGCUGUUUUACAUAUGUAUAUCCACUUUUAUGUUGUGCUACAGUUCAUGAUUCUAUAAGGUUCAAUGUGUUUUAAGUAUGUAUACGCAUAACUCCAAAUAUAUUUUAAUGGUUGUUUAUGUAGAUCUACUUUAAAUGUAAAUUUUGGUUGAAUUAGUCUUGAUUUUACUUAGGAGAAUAUGUACAUAUGCAGCCUUUCAUAAGAUAAAGCAGGCUACAUGAAUAAGUUAUAUUUAGCUUUGUGUAUGUGGUGAAUGCAUGUACAUUGAGUAUACAAAACAUUAAGAACACCUGCUCUUUCCAUGACAGACUGACCAGGUGAAAGCUAUGAUCCAUUGUUGAUGUCACUUGUUAAAUCCACUUCAAUCAGUGUGUAGAUGAAGGGGAUGAGACCGGUUAAAGAGAGAAUUGAGACAUAGAUUGUGUAUGUAUGCCAUUUAGAAGGUGAAAGGGCAAGACAAAAAGUUCCUUUGAACUGGAUAUGGUAGUAGGUGCCAUGCACACCAGUUUGUGUCAAGAACUGCAACGCUGUUGGGUUUUUCACGCUCAACAGUUUCCCGUGUGUAUCAAGGGUGGUCCACCAUCUGAAGGACAUCUAACCAACUUGACACAACUCUGGAAAGCAUUGUAGUCAACAUGGGCCAGCAUUUGUGGAGAAUGCUUUCGACACCUUGUAGAGUCCAUGCCCUGACGAAUUAAGGCUGUUCUGAGUGCAGGGGGCGGGUGCGUGCAACUCAAUAUUAGGAAGAUGUUCCUAAUGUUUGGUAUACUCAGUGUACGUUAUGUUCUGUCUGGACAGUGUUUUUCCCAACCAUCCUGUGGUUUGUCUCAAAGGAGUGCACAGAAGAACUUCUUCUCCCUGAAUGGGUUCUCUGAGGUGGGCACAGGGGUGAUGAGGGGGUCCUCAAUGGCGUGGGCAUCACAGUAUGCCAUCAGGUCUGCAGCCGCUUUUGAUACCUG
rnacentral:lncRNA from 1 species